rnacentral:rRNA from 1 species
CGACGUGAGGAACCUGCCUUGAAGAGGGGGACAACAGUUGGAAACGACUGCUAAUACCGCAUGACGCAUAGAGGUCGCAUGAUCUUUAUGCCAAAGAUUUAUCGCUUCAAGAUGGCCUCGCGUCUGAUUAGCUAGUUGGCGGGGUAACGGCCCACCAAGGCGACGAUCAGUAGCCGGACUGAGAGGUUGAACGGCCACAUUGGGACUGAGACACGGCCCAG